GACGAACGCUGGCGGCGUGCUUAACACAUGCAAGUCGAACGGUAAGGCCCUUUCGGGGGUACACGAGUGGCGAACGGGUGAGUAACACGUGGGUGAUCUGCCCUGCACUUUGGGAUAAGCCUGGGAAACUGGGUCUAAUACCGGAUAGGACUACGCGAUGCAUGUCGUGUGGUGGAAAGCUUUUGCGGUGUGGGGUGGGCCCGCGGCCUAUCAGCUUGUUGGUGGGGUGAUGGCCUACCAAGGCGACGACGGGUAGCCGGCCUGAGAGGGUGUCCGGCCACACUGGGACUGAGAUACGGCCCAGACUCCUACGGGAGGCAGCAGUGGGGAAUAUUGCACAAUGGGCGCAAGCCUGAUGCAGCGACGCCGCGUGGGGGAUGACGGCCUUCGGGUUGUAAACCCCUUUCAGCACAGACGAAGCGUAAGUGACGGUAUGUGCAGAAGAAGCACCGGCCAACUACGUG
rnacentral:rRNA from 1 species